rnacentral:tRNA from 1 species
GCCUCCGUAGCAUAGUGGCUAUUGCGGCUGCUUCGUAAGCAGCAGGUCGGGAGUUCAAAUCUCCCCGGAGGCU